GGCGCGGAGCAUGCGGAUUAAUUCGAUGCAACGCGAAGAACCUUACCAAGGCUUGACAUACACGGUAACGCCCAGAGAUGGGUGCCCCUUUGUGGUCGGUGUACAGGUGGUGCAUGGGUUGUCGUCAGCUCGUGUCGUGAGAUGUUGGGUUAAGUCCCGCAACGAGCGCAACCCUCGUCCUAUGUUGCCAGCGGGUCAUGCCGGGGACUCAUGGGAGACUGCCGGGGUCAACUCGGGAGGAAGGUGGGAUGACGUCAAAUCAUCAUGCCCCUUAUGUCUUGGGCUUCACGCAUGCUACAAUGGCCGGUACAAAGGGCUGCGAUACCGCGAGGUGGAGCGAAUCCCAGAAAGCCGGUCUCAGUUCGGAUUGGGGUCUGCAACUCGACCCCAUGAAGUCGGAGUCGCUAGUAAUCGCAGAUCAGCAACGCUGCGGUGAAUACGUUCCCGGGCCUU
rnacentral:rRNA from 1 species